UGGGGAAUAUUGCACAAUGGGCGCAAGCCUGAUGCAGCCAUGCCGCGUGUGUGAAGAAGGCCUUCGGGUUGUAAAGCACUUUCAGCGAGGAGGAAGGUGGUGAGCUUAAUACGCUCAUCAAUUGACGUUACUCGCAGAAGAAGCACCGGCUAACUCCGUGCCAGCAGCCGCGGUAAUACGGAGGGUGCAAGCGUUAAUCGGAAUUACUGGGCGUAAAGCGCACGCAGGCGGUUUGUUAAGUCAGAUGUGAAAUCCCCGGGCUCAACCUGGGAACUGCAUUUGAAACUGGCAAGCUAGAGUCUCGUAGAGGGGGGUAGAAUUCCAGGUGUAGCGGUGAAAUGCGUAGAGAUCUGGAGGAAUACCGGUGGCGAAGGCGGCCCCCCUGGACGAAGACUGACGCUCAGGUGCGAAAGCGUGGGGAGCAAAACAGGAUUAGAUACCCUGGUAGUCCACGCUGUAAAACGAUGUCGAUUUUGGAGGUUGUGCCCUUGAGGCGUGGCUUCCGGAGCUAACGCGUUAAAUCGACCGCCUGGGGAGUACGGCCGCAAGGUUAAAACUCAAAGGAAUUGACGGGUCU
rnacentral:rRNA from 1 species